CUACGGGGGGCAGCAGUGGGGAAUAUUGGACAAUGGGGGAAACCCUGAUCCAGCAAUGCCGCGUGUGUGAAGAAGGCCUGCGGGUUGUAAAGCACUUUCGGUUGGGAGGACUGCUUCUAGCACUAAUAUUGUUGGAAGUUGACGUUACCUUCAGAAGAAGCACCGGCUAACUCCGUGCCAGCAGCCGCGGUAAUACGGAGGGUGCAAGCGUUAAUCGGAAUUACUGGGCGUAAAGCGCGCGUAGGCGGCUAGAUCAGUCGGGUGUGAAAGCCCCGGGCUUAACCUGGGAACUGCAUCCGAUACUGUCUAGCUUGAGUACAGGAGAGGGGAGUGGAAUUCCACAUGUAGCGGUGAAAUGCGUAGAUAUGUGGAGGAACACCAAUGGCGAAGGCAGCUCUUUGGCCUGAUACUGACGCUGAGGUGCGAAAGCGUGGGGAGCAGACAGGAUUAGAUACCCUAGUAGUC
rnacentral:rRNA from 1 species